GACGAACGCUGGCGGCGUGCUUAACACAUGCAAGUCGAACGGAAAGGCCCCUUUGGGGGUACUCGAGUGGCGAACGGGUGCGUAACACGUGAGUAACCUGCCCUUGACUUCGGGAUAACUUCAGGAAACUGGGGCUAAUACCGGAUAGGAAUCCUUGCUGCAUGGUGGGGGUUGGAAAGCUUCGGCGGUUUUGGAUGGACUCGCGGCUUAUCAGCUUGUUGGUGGGGUAGUGGCUUACCAAGGCUUUGACGGGUAGCCGGCCUGAGAGGGCGACCGGCCACAUUGGGACUGAGAUACGGCCCAGACUCCUACGGGAGGCAGCAGUGGGGAAUAUUGCACAAUGGGCGGAAGCCUGAUGCAGCAACGCCGCGUGCGGGAUGACGGCCUUCGGGUUGUAAACCGCUUUCAGCAGGGGCGAAGCUUGUGGUGACGGUACCUGCAGAAGAAGCACCGGCUAACUAUGUG
rnacentral:rRNA from 1 species